rnacentral:rRNA from 1 species
ACUCCUACGGGAGGCAGCAGUGGGGAAUUUUGCGCAAUGGGGGAAACCCUGACGCAGCAACGCCGCGUGGAGGAUGAAGUCCCUUGGGAUGUAAACUCCUUCGACCGGGACGAUAUGACG